AUGUGUCAGGGCACACACAAACACCCACACACGCGUGGUCACACGCAGCUCCGUGUCAGGGCACACACACACACACGUGUGGUCCCACACAAUGACACGCGUGUCCCCGCCGCUCUCCUCCUUGUCAGGGCACACACACACACACGCGUGUUCACACGCCAUGACAUGCGUGUCCCUGACUCUUUCCCCCGUCUCAGGGCACACACACACACACACACGCGUGCGCGCGGUCACACACGCAAUGACAUGCGUGUCCCUGACUCUUUCCCCCGUCUCAGGGCACACACAUGGUUCUCACACACACACGUGUGUUCACACACCAUGACACGCGUGUCCCCGACUCUUUCCCCCGUCUCAGGGCACACACGUGGAUCUCACACACACACACACAGGUGGUCACACACCAUGACACACGUGUCCCCACCACUCUCCCCCGUCUCAGGGCACAGACACACACACACACGCGUGUUCACACACAAUGACACACAUGUCCCUGACUCUUUCCCCCGUCUCAGGGCACACACACACACACACACACACACACACCAUGACACGCGUGUCCCCGACUCUUUCCCCCGUCUCAGGGCACACAGACACACACACGCGUGUUCACUCGCCAUGACACGCGUGUCCCCGCCGCUCUCCCCCAUCUCAGGGCACACACACACACACACUUGUUCACACGCCAUGACACGCGUGCCCCUGACUCUUUCUCCCAUCUCAGGGCACACACACACACGCACACGCCAUGACACGCGUGUCCCCGACUCUUUCCCCCGUCUCAGGGCACACACGUGGGUCUCACUUACACACACACACAUGGGUCUCACACACACACACAUGGGUCUCACUUACACACACACACGUGGGUCUCACUUACACGUGGGUCUCACUUACACACGUGGGUCUCACUUUCACACACACAUGUGUAUCUCACUUUCACACACACGUGGGUCUCACUUUCACACACACACGUGGGUCUCACUUUCACACACACACGUGGGUCUCACUUUCACACACACGUGGGUCUCACACACACGUGGGUCUCACACACACACACGUGUAUCUCACUUUCACACACGUGGGUCUCACUUUCACACACACGGGUCUCACUUACACACGUGAGUCUCACUUUCACACA
rnacentral:lncRNA from 1 species